rnacentral:rRNA from 1 species
UACGGGGGGGGCAAGCGUUGUUCGGAAUUACUGGGCGUAAAGGGCGCGUAGGCGGCCAUCUAAGUCAGACGUGAAAUCCCUCGGCUCAACCGAGGAACUGCGUCUGAUACUGGAAGGCUUGAAUCCGGGAGAGGGAUGUGGAAUUCCAGGUGUAGCGGUGAAAUGCGUAGAUAUCUGGAGGAACACCGGUGGCGAAGGCGGCGAUCUGGACGAUGACUGACGCUGAGACGCGAAAGCGUGGGGAGCAAACAGG